rnacentral:rRNA from 1 species
GAUGAACGCUAGCGGCAGGCUUAAUACAUGCAAGUCGAGGGACAGCACAGGUAGCAAUACUGGGUGGUAACCGGCAAACGGGUGCGGAACACGUACACAACCUUCCUUUAAGUGGGGGAUAGCCCAGAGAAAUUUGGAUUAAUACCCCGUAAUAUAGUUGAAUGGCAUCAUUUGAUUAUUAUAGCUACGGCGCUUAAUGAUGGGUGUGCGGCUGAUUAGAUAGUUGGCGGGGUAACGGCGCACCAAGUCUACGAUCAGUAGCUGAUGUGAGAGCAUGAUCAGCCAAACGGGCACUGGGACACGGGCCCGACUCCUACGGGAGGCAGCAGUAAGGAAUAUCGGUCAAUGAACGCAAGUCUGAACCAGCCAUGCCGCGUGAAGGAUUAAGGUCCUCUGGAUUGUAAACUUCUUUUAUUUGGGACGAAAAAGGGCCUUUCUAGGUCAACUGACGGUACGAGAUGAAUAAGCACCGGCUAACUCCGAGCCAGCCGCCGCGGUAAGAC